CGUAUUACACUAAAUAUUUAGUCAACAGAUGGCACUCUCAAUGCCAAUUGCUCUCCAUCUUAAUAUUGAUUAUUAAUAUUAGUUUAUAUAAACGAUUCUUGUGUCAGAGUAUAUAUACGUUCCUGGCAUCUUACAAGCUGCUCGUUUCCUGUCCAUCAUCAUAUCCUAGUCCUCGGUACAAACGCUGCAAAUCUUCAAACCGAACAAGGUAUAAGACACUGGAAAUCCUCUUUACGCACCUGGGAUACGGAAUGUCGAAGUCGAAUGCCACUGGCCUGUGGAUCAAUGUUGACAUAAUUAUCUCGAUAAUACAGAACGAUAAUAAUACAAUAGUAUUCGCACUGUAUAAAAUCAAAGUAUUUUUCUUUUUUUGAAAACGUUCAACAAUUUGAUCGUGUUAUUCUAUUCCGUGAGUCUUUGAUUACUUCAAUUCUUCAAUAAUGUCGUGUGCUCCUCUUUGCUCUGUAGACAACUGCAAAAAUCGUGCUAGACCGAAAUUCAAUUACAAUUGUUACAGAUAUCCGUUGAAUGAUCGAUUUGUCGUAUAUAAAUCGUGGAUUCAGGUGGUUGGUCGUAGAGGACGGAAUGCAAAUCCUUAUAGAUUUUACGGUCAGUUGUGUUAUAUGCAUUUCCAGGUAUUUCUUUGUAUAUUAAUGCGUAAAAGAAUUGAAAAAAUAUUAUUAUUACGUAGAAAUAAUCGUGGGCAGUAGGUAUUCCGUUAUCGGUUAUUUGUCAAAAGAACGAUAAAAUUUUUUUUCGUGGUGACGUGAACUCAUUAUUUUAAUAAUUAAAAAAUGUUCAACAACCUCCCACCCAACCAACCACCCACCCACCAACCAUUUUUUUCGUGAUGCAGCUACAUCAAAUAAACCCCGUUCACGCCGCCACUUCUAUCAUAAAAGCGUAAAUUUAUCAGACAUAUGUUCAAAAAUUGAAAUUAUUUAGUACAAUUAAGAUUAAGUUGAUACGUUAUGAAAUGUAUGCAUUUAUUUAUAUUUUAUCGCGAUUAAUCUGAUAGAUUAUUUAAAAAAAAAAAAAUCGUACUGUUGACUAUUAAUACCUAUAACUAGGGUUGCCAUAAAACUUAAAAGUUUAAGUAUUGACCGGGACGUUUUUUUUUUUUUUAUACAAAUUAAUAAUUUCAACAACCUUCUUUUAAAUUAUAAAAUGUAGAACACAAUGUAAUAUAUUAUGUGUAUUAUAUAGAAAUUAAUAAUAAUAGCAUUGAAUUUAGUUUAUAGUGUUUAUACAGUACCUACACAUGGUUACAAACCGAUUUUACAGCAUUUUUUGAAUUUUAAGUUUAAAUAUAAAUUUUUACAGAAAUAGAUUAAAAAUAAAUUAAUGAUUACAUUAACAUUUGAUUACCUAAUUAUUUAUAAUUUAUAUUUUUCUGUCAUUUUUACACAUUAUUUUAUUAUAGAAUUUAGAAUAUAAAUUUAUUAUACUUAUUUUAUUUACACGUAUCAAUUAAAUCUUAACCGGGACUUUUGGAGGAUCUAACGAGACGACCGGGACAGAAGUCAUAAACUAGUGACAUGUCUCGGUGUACCGGGACGUAUGGCAACCCUACCUAUAACCUCUAAUUUUCAAAAUAUGUGUACCUAAUAAUUAUUUAUUAUUGUUUAAAAAACGUGUGUGUAUUGUGUAAUAAUAUAAUAUAUAGGUAAUAUACCAUUAUAAAACUAUAUUUAAUUAUACAUAUUUAUUAGUUGACAUUUAGUCUCUUAACUCUUAAAUAAACAAAUUCAUAAUUAUAUACAUUUUAAUAUAUUAUUAUAUAAUCUACUUUUAAUUAUAUGAUAUUUAAUAUUAAGAAAACAAAUUAGGUUCGGAGCCUAAGUCAACACAAAACAUUUUAAUGUUCUAAAAAAAAUCCAAUUUGAUUAAUAAAAUAUAAUAAAAUUUUAAUGUUUAAUUUUAAGAUUUUAGGUUAAGCAAUAUAUUAUAAUAUUAUGUACUAUACUACUAUACCUAAUGUCAGACCAAUGGCCACAGCUGCCGCGGGUAUUUAAUUAUUAAUAAUAAUAAAAAAAAACAAAUUGAAAAAUAUUAAAUUAUUAAUAGUUAAAUAUUAUAACUAUUACAUUAAGAGUUAACACUAGAUUAGAAAUAAAUAACUAAUAAUGUCACAACAUCAUCUAUACAAAUUAAUAACCCAUAAGACACACAUAAACCCGCUCAUGUUGUUUAGCCGUUCUGUGGCUUAGCGACUCAAUCGCUCACCUAUUUCUCAUUUUAUUAUUAAUUAUUAUAAUUGUACACCUUCAAUAUUUUAUGUAUUAUUGUUUAAAUUAAAAUGUUAUUUCAACACA